UACGGAGGGAGCUAGCGUUGUUCGGAAUUACUGGGCGUAAAGCGCACGUAGGCGGCUUUGUAAGUUAGAGGUGAAAGCCCGGAGCUCAGCUCCGGAAUUGCCUUUAAGACUGCAUCGCUUGAAUCCGGGAGAGGUGAGUGGAAUUCCGAGUGUAGAGGUGAAAUUCGUAGAUAUUCGGAAGAACACCAGUGGCGAAGGCGGCUCACUGGACCGGUAUUGACGCUGAGGUGCGAAAGCGUGGGGAGCAAACAGG
rnacentral:rRNA from 1 species